UUAAUUUGUAUGUUAUAUUAGUAUUAUGUUUUUGCUAUUUACUAAAUAUUAGUGUAAUAAUUUUGGUUAUUAUUAGAUAAUAUUAUUAACAGUAAUUUAUAAUUAGCUAAUAUUAAUUUCUUAAGAUUUUAUUCUAUGGGAUAAAAGAUUAUUUUGCUUCUUGUGCUAACUACUCUUUCUCUAUGCUCAGUCUUCUCUAUGCUCAGUCUUCCUUUUCUUUUGAAGAAUGUCCUUUUUUCUCGCUGGGUUAUGGAGUCUCUGGGCCAGGAGUUGGUGGUCGCCAUCUCCCCGUGCCAGAAGUCCCUUUUCCCCAGCUGGAGCCGAUUUCAGCACAGUUCCUGAGUUGGCUUUAUGAGUUUUGUCCUCAUCUGGGAAGUUCUGCCAAACGUCCUUGUGGCUGUCACUCGUGUGUCCUUGGUGUCCCCUCUGAGCAGGAGCUCCUUGUCCCCAGGCUUUGUGGCCCUGCCCGUGGCUCUGACACCACUGGUGCCUGUCAAGGCCUAAGCCUCAGCCAGGCCCUUCUCCUGCCAAGGACCUGAUGUCCCUGACACCUGGCCAUCAAAGGCAGCCCGUGUGACAGGGGCAGGCUCCGGGCCAGCCGCCACCUGCGGGGCCCGGCCUGGCGCGGGCAGCGGGCACUGAUUGUCCGUCUGUGGCCUCAGGCAGGGGCAGCGGAACAGCGCCCGCAGCGCCCGCAGCGCCCGCCUGAAGCGGGACGGGCGUUUCUUGGGGGGAGCCGGCGGCUCCCUGAGGGCCUGGGCUCCUGGCUGGGAAAAGCGCAUGAAGCAGCUGAGCUGGGCAGGCUCCGGGCCCUGUGUCCCUGCCGCUGGCACCUGCUCCUCGAAGGUGGGAGGAGGCGCGGAGCCCUGAGGAGGCCCCGGGGCUGCCAGGUGGGGAGGGGAGGCCCAGAGCGGCUCCUGGCACGGCUCAGCUGCCCCGCGCUCAACCCGGGCCUCCCGCGGGACAGGCACUGGGAGCCCGCCCGCCACAAAAACUCCCGGGCUGUGCUCCCUGACUGCCUCACUCAGCUCCAAGAAGCUCGGUUUGUCCCACGUCCUUCUCCCACAGCAAGGGCUUGACCCGGAUGCUGUGAACCCUCACGUGUUCCCAAUUGUCCUGAGCAAGCUCUUUGUCACCAUCAUUUUCCCGACUGGACUGCACGGAGGGUCUGCUACCAUUGCCUUAGGACAACUCCUGGCCAACGGAGUCUUCCUCUUCAGAAAGCUCUCGGCCAACAGAGUCCUCCCAGUCAGACGGUUCUGGGGAUCUACCAGCUUCUGCUCAAGGGACAGCCCUGGCUCCAUGCAUUCCUCCCAGGCAGAAAAUUCUUGAUAGUGAAGGGCUUCUCCCUGGGACUGCUGCUGCUCGCCUCAUCCCAGCUGGAGUGUUCCCCACAGCUGAUGACAUCUCCUUGGGACAGCCCUUGCUCCAAGCAUCCUUCCCAGUCCGAGACCUCUUGGUAGCUCCUAACAUCACCGCACUGGGAAAGCUCAUGAUCCAUGCCAGAUUCCCACUGUUCCUCCAUGCUGACAAAGGCUCGUCCUCCUCAGUCUCUGAUGAGCAGGACUGAGUCACCCACUGCCCCCACCAAGUGCCCACCGAGGGCCUGGUGUUCAGCCAGCUGGGCAAGGGGCUGGUUGCUGGGAGUGGUCCUACUCCAUCUCUGUCGUGCUCUAGCACAGAGACAUCCCAGGAGCUGCUUCCUCCUGAGAGAGACCCUGGGUUCUUGCGUGGCUUCCCCAAUGACACAGACAGUGCGUCCAGCUCACCCUCAGAGUGUUUGCAGAGGACAAGCUGAGCAGGGCAGGUUUGAGAAUCUGAUGAGAAGAAACUUGGGAUCUUGGAGGAUGGCAAGAACUGCUUACACUAAGGAAUUAAGUUCAGGGUUGCUAUGUAAAAGGAGCAGGGUGAUGGUAGCAAGAUACCCAUCAUGAAGCUAAACCAACUCAAAAGGAAGCCUGCUUUACAGUAUAUAUAUAAGACUGUGAAAAGAGAGGAGAAAUUAGAAACUGCUUCAGAUGCAGAAUGGUGACAUCCUCAAGAAAACUGAAAGAUGGUGGGACAGCUCACAUAACCAGAGCUCUCCAAUGAAUGAAGAGCUCAUUAAUAAAGAUAGAAAGGUAAAAUUUGGAGGAGAGUUUUCCUCCAUGUGAAUAAGCUGCUUUAAUGCAUGGAACUGUUCUGUAUACAGACAACAUCUUUUUUAACAGCUUGUGGAUCACAAAUGAUCAUUAUGAUGAUGUGGCACAGUGCCAGGAAUUUCUUACAGAGCCACCUGCUCACCCUGAUUGGUUGAGUGUCCUUGAAACUUAAGGAAGGCACAUGGUAAAGAAGGAUCUUUGGUGCAACACACCAAAACCAAACCAAACCAAACAAGUAGUAUACAGAAAGCAGAAGGAAAACCAGCCUAAAAAGGAAGAAUUUAAAAACACUGCACCCAUCUGUUAGGAUAAAAAAAUUCAGUUGGAGUUCAGACUGGAAAGUGAGGAUUUAGGGCAACAAGAAGAGUUUUUACAGAUGCAAGGACAUCUGUAACAGCAAACAACAGCAAAAUAAACAAGAAAAAUGUAGGUCUGGAAUGGUGCCCUAGUGACAGGGAAAACGCAUAGAACUUGGAAGUCCAGUCCUGCCUUUGUCUUCACCAGCAACACCCCCAAGUCUGUGCCCAGAGGCAGGGUUCAAGAAAGACAGCAACUACCAGUAGUAGAAUAUUACGUUGUGAGGACACAGCUUCAUGGCCUCAUGAAUCCAGAAUAAUUCUGCACUGAAUUUCACACCUCAUUACGGGCUACAUGGAAUAAAGGACAUUGCUGAGAGAUUCUGAGAUUAUAAAAGGCCCAAAGAUACACAUUCCAGACAGAACACUAACAGAAAUGUUUAUUCAAAACAUCUUAACACACCCUUUUACAAAUAAAAAUAUUGCAGGCUUACCACACUAAA